rnacentral:lncRNA from 1 species
UUUUUUUUUUAUUUCUUAGUCUAAUGUAAUAAAUUCAAUCAGAAAUCACUAUAUUUUUAUCGAACUGACCAGUCUACGUAUCUACUUUCCUACUAAUCUAUCGUAUAAUGGAAUUCAUACCAACAUCGUGCGUAACGUCAGUGCGAUUUUAUCCAAAUUAUACACGAAUACAAUAGUUUCGCUUUUUUCGUAUCUUCAAUUUAGU